rnacentral:rRNA from 1 species
GAUGAACGCUGACAGAAUGCUUAACACAUGCAAGUCAACUUGAACUUCGGUUUGGGUGGCGGACGGGUGAGUAACGCGUACAGAACUUGCCUCACAGAUAGGGACAACAUUUGGAAACGAAUGCUAAUACCUGAUAUUAUGAUUAUAUGGCAUCGUAUAAUUAUGAAAGCUAUAUGCGCUGUGAGAGAGCUUUGCGUCCCAUUAGCUAGUUGGAGAGGUAACGGCUCACCAAGGCGAUGAUGGGUAGCCGGCCUGAGAGGGUGAUCGGCCACAAGGGGACUGAGACACGGCCCGUACGCCUACGGGAGGCAGCAGUGGGGAAUAUUGGACAAUGGACCAAGAGUCUGAUCCAGCAAUUCUGUGUGCACGAUGAAGUUUUUCGGAAUGUAAAGUGCUUUCAGUUGGGAAGAAAAAAAUGACGGUACCAACAGAAGAAGUGACGGCUAAAUACGUG